rnacentral:rRNA from 1 species
UACGUAGGGUGCGAGCGUUAAUCGGAAUUACUGGGCGUAAAGCGUGCGCAGGCGGUUUUGCAAGCCGGAUGUGAAAUCCCCGGGCUCAACCUGGGAAUGGCAUUUGGGACUGCAAGGCUCGAGUGCGGCAGAGGAGACUGGAAUUCCUGGUGUAGCAGUGAAAUGCGUAGAUAUCAGGAGGAAUACCGAUGGCGAAGGCGGGUCUCUGGGCCGAUACUGACGCUGAGGAGCGAAAGCGUGGGGAGCGAACAGG